UUUUUAAGGCAAAUACCUGAAAAAAAUUUCCUCCUCAAUUCACCAAUUAGAUCCGAAAUGCUACAUGCAAGUUUUUUCACUGCAUUAACGUAACUGGUAGAAAGGUGUUUCCCGGCCAAAAAUAAAAACAUAGUAAAACCAAUCGCUUUAAAACAAGUAAUUAUCCUGUUUUUAAUUGUAUAAUAUUUUAUAACCAGUGCGG